AUGCACGUCAUAAUGCUUCUACUACUAUUUGGUGUCAAUUUAAUUAUAGCAAAGCCGUGACUCGUAACUGUUUGUUGUUAUUACACGUGCAGCAGGCACAUCUUACACUCAUAAACGUAGAGUAAAGCUCGCCUAUAAUCAUAGGAGAAACAGUGAGGCACCAGGUUCUUCUGUCCAAGUACCCGAUGAGGUCCGUGUGACUCAAAAAAAAGCUCACCCUGCAAACAAAGCUGUAAUGUCAGUAGGGACAACCCAUUUAUCAAGUGUUGCGGUCAUUUCACAGAGCAACAGUGACAGUGGCACGUGCUCUCAUUGGUCCACUGAGUCCAGUACACCAACCAUUCCAGAAGAAAUAGAUGCUUCAAAUAAAGCUACAAUGCCAGAAGCAAGGGCCAAUGCCUCAAGUAUUGAUGUUUCACAAAGCAGCUGUGAGAGUGCAUAUUGCUCGCAUAGGCCCAUGGUAUCUAUUGGUCAACUUAAUCCGGCACAAAGAGAUUUGGGGGAUGCACUCCA